UACGUAGGGUGCAAGCGUUUAAUCGGAAUUACUGGGCGUAAAGCGUGCGCAGGCGGUGAUGUAAGACAGGUGUGAAAUCCCCGGGCUCAACCUGGGAAUGGCCGUUGAAACUGGCGAACUGGAGUGUGGCAGAGGGGGGUGGAAUUCCGCGUGUAGCAGUGAAAUGCGUAGAGAUGCGGAGGAACACCGAUGGCGAAGGCAGCCCCCUGGGCUGACACUGACGCUCAGGCACGAAAGCGUGGGGAGCAAACAGG
rnacentral:rRNA from 1 species